rnacentral:rRNA from 1 species
GUCCUAGCCCUAAACGGUGCUUGCUUGCUGUAAGAGGAAUCGACCCCUCUUGUGGCGGAGCUAACGCGUUAAGCAAGCCGCCUGGGAAGUACGGUCGCAAGAUUAAAACUCAAAGAAAUUGACGGGGCCUGCACAAGCGGUGGAGUAUGUGGCUUAAUUCGAUGCAACGCGAAGAACCUUACCUGGCCUUGACAUGCAUCUAGUAGAAGGGUGAAAGCCUAACGAGGUAGCAAUACCAGGAUGCACAGGUGCUGCAUGGCUGUCGU